ACCAGACUCCUACGGGAGGCAGCAGUGGGGAAUAUUGUACAAUGGGGGAAACCCUGAUGCAGCGACGCCGCGUGAGUGAAGAAGUAAUUCGUUAUGUAAAGCUCUAUCAGCAGGGAAGAAAAUGACGGUACCUGAGUAAGAAGCCCCGGCUAACUACGUGCCAGCAGCCGCGGUAAUACGUAGGGGGCAAGCGUUAUCCGGAUUUACUGGGUGUAAAGGGAGCGUAGACGGCAUGGCAAGUCAGAUGUGAAAGCCCGGGGCUCAACCCCGGGACUGCAUUUGAAACUGUCAGGCUGGAGUGCAGGAGAGGUAAGUGGAAUUCCUAGUGUAGCGGUGAAAUGCGUAGAUAUUAGGAGGAACACCAGUGGCGAAGGCGGCUUGCUGGACAGUAACUGACGCUGAGGCGCGAAAGCGUGGGGAGCAAACAGGAUUAGAUACCCCAGUA
rnacentral:rRNA from 1 species